rnacentral:rRNA from 1 species
AGUGAACGCUGGCGGCGUGCCUAAUACAUGCAAGUCGAACGGAGUGGCGCACGGGUGAGUAAUAUAUAGCUAAUCUGCCCCUUGCUGGAGGACAACAGUUAGAAAUGACUGCUAAUACUCCAUAGCAAGGGAUGAGACUAUAUCGUAUCAGAUAGUCGGUGGGGUAACGGCCUACCGAGGCUAUGACGCGUAACUGGUCUGAGAGGAUGAUCAGUAGCCUCGGAACGGAGACACGGUCCGAACUCCUUCGGGAGUCGGCGGUAGGUGGUAUUGCGCAAUGGGGGUGACCCUGACGCAUCUACGCCGCGUGAAGUAUUUCACUUUUCGGAGCGUAAACUCCUUUUGUUAGGAAAGCGGUACCUAACGAAUAAGCACCGGCUAACUCCGUGCCAGCAGCCGCGGUAAUUC